UACGGAGGGUGCAAGCGUUAUCCGGAUUCACUGGGUUUAAAGGGUGCGUAGGUGGGCAGGUAAGUCAGUGGUGAAAUCUUUGGGCUUAACCCGAAAACUGCCAUUGAUACUAUUUGUCUUGAAUAUUGUGGAGGUCAGCGGAAUAUGUCAUGUAGCGGUGAAAUGCUUAGAUAUGACAUAGAACACCAAUUGCGAAGGCAGCUUACUACACAAUUAUUGACGCUGAGGCACGAAAGCGUGGGGAUCAAACAGG
rnacentral:rRNA from 1 species